GGAGGUUGGAUCCCGUCCCGUCCGGUGCGGGCGCACUACCGGCCGAUCUUCUCCGCCCUGUCGGCGAGGUCGAGCGAGAGCGUGCAAGUCGGGACCCGAAAGAUGGUGAACUAUGCCUGAGGAGGUUGAAGCCAGAGGAAACUCUGGUGGAGGACCGUAGCGAUUCUGACGUGCAAAUCGAUCGUCAAAUUUGGGUAUAGGGGCGAAAGACUAAUCGAACCGUCUAGUAGCUGGUUCCCUUCGAAGUUUCCCUCAGGAUAGCUGGCGCUCUGUCGCAGUUUUAUCUGGUAAAGCGAAUGAUUAGAGGUCUUGGGGGCGAAACGCCCUCAACCUAUUCUCAAACUUUAAAUUGGUAAGAAGCCCGACUCGCUCGUUUGGAGCCGGGCAUGGAAUGCGAGUGCCAAGUGGGCCACUCUUGGUAAGCAGGACUGGCGAUGCGGGAUGAACCGAACGCCGGGUUAAGGCGCCCGACGCGACGCUCAUCAGAGCCCACAAAAGGUGUUGGUUGAUAUAGACAGCAGGACGGUGGCCAUGGAAGUCGGAAACCGCUAAGGAGUGUGUAACAACUCACCUGCCGAAUCAAUCAGCCCUGAAAAUGGAUGGCGCUGGAGCGUCGGGCCUAUACCCGGCCGUCGCGGCGGUACGAGCAUCGAGUUGGUGCGCUAGGCCGCGACGAGUAGGAGG
rnacentral:ncRNA from 1 species